UCAAAUGUCUUGUUUUGUCCACAACUCAGAUAUUCAGUUCCCUGUCCCAGAGGAGAGAAGAAACUAGAACAAUAUUCACGUUUAACAAAGCUGACAUCACACCAUUUUGUCGUUGAAAUAAAAUGACACAAA